GGACCCCCCCCCCCCCCCGGACCCCCCCGCCCGGGAGAGGACGCCAUCGGUGUCGUCUGCCUCGUCUGAGGAGGGCGUGGAUCUGAGGUUCUGAAGGCCGUGAGCCCCCCUCUGGUCCCAAGCUCCUCCUCUGGAACAACGGCAACCACACUGAGGGCCCCAACUCAUCCUGAGGGCCCCAACUCAUCCUGAGGGCCAAACACACUGAGGGCCCCAACUCAUCCUGAGGGCCAAACACACUGAGGGCCCCAACUCAUCCUGAGGGCCCCAACUCAUCCUGAGGGCCCUAACUCAUCCUGAGGGCCAAACACACUGAGGGCCCCAACUCAUCCUGAGGGCCAAACACACUGAGGGCCCUAACUCAUCCUGAGGGCCAAACACACUGAAGGCCCUAACUCAUCCUGAGGGCCAAACACACUGAGGGCCCCAACUCAUCCUGAGGGCCAAACACAUCCUGAGGGCCCCAACUCAUCUUGAGGGCCAACCACACUGAGGCCCCCAACUCAUCCUGAGGGCCAACCACACUGAGGGCCCUAACUCAUCCUGAGGGCUCCAACACAUCCUGAAGGCCAAACACAUUGAGGGCCCCAACACAUCCUGAGGGUCCCAACUCAUCCUUAGGUCCCGAGACAUUGAGGGCCCCAACACUUCCUGAGGAACUCAGAAGUUCAUUGACUGAGGAAAGAGAAGGCUUCACUGUUAACCAUCUACCUUCUAAAUGUGCAAAUAUGAUUAUCAACAGAAUUGAGCCAUGACAUUAACACUUGUUGUAUCCUAAUGAGUCACCUUCCUAAAGGCUUUGGAGUACUGGUUGUAUGAAACUUCUUUAAUCUGUAAAAAUAUCCUAUCCCUACACAUAACAUAAGCUAUUAAACAUGUUGCAUACUUUAAUGAUCAAAUAUCCUAAUAUAAAGCAUUAUAUAUCAGUUGUUCUGACCUGCUAUGUAAAACAAAGAAUAUUUAAAUAAACUAUUUUAUUUCGUUUUAAAAUCA